CCUACGGGCGGCUGCAGUGGGAAAUAUUGGACAAUGGGCGAAAGCCUGAUCCAGCCAUGCCGCGUGUGUGAAGAAGGCCUUCGGGUUGUAAAGCACUUUCAGUGGGGAAGAAAGCCUUGGGGCUAAUACCCUCGAGGAAGGACAUCACCCACAGAAGAAGCACCGGCUAACUCCGUGCCAGCAGCCGCGGUAAUACGGAGGGUGCGAGCGUUAAUCGGAAUUACUGGGCGUAAAGCGCGCGUAGGCGGUCUGAUAAGCCGGUUGUGAAAGCCCCGGGCUCAACCUGGGAACGGCAUCCGGAACUGUCAGGCUAGAGUGCAGGAGAGGAAGGUAGAAUUCCCGGUGUAGCGGUGAAAUGCGUAGAGAUCGGGAGGAAUACCAGUGGCGAAGGCGGCCUUCUGGACUGACACUGACGCUGAGGUGCGAAAGCGUGGGUAGCAAACAGGAUUAGAUACCCGAGUAGUC
rnacentral:rRNA from 1 species